CAUUUGUUCGUUGUAUGGUGAAAUUUCAUGUACAUAUGUACAUUUUUUUCAAAUACAGACCGCCAAGGAAUAAAUCAAUUUAGUGAAAUUUCAAUUUUUUCGUUUGCAAAGAACUACCGCUGCUUUAAGAAAUGCGCAAAAUAAGAAAAUUAUCGAUUUAAGUGCGAUACAAUAUGGGCCAAUCAGCCGCACAGUGAAUGGAAUGCGCGUCGAUCACACGAAUAAAAGAGACCUAGGGUGAUCUAGGAAAUGGCUUAUGUUGUGGAAAAUUUGUUAGCAUUUAUAUACAAUUAUAAGCUGAAUUUUUGUGCAUCCGAUCUGCAAAAGAACACUCGAAAUCGAUUAUUUCCACACUUGCUUACAGUUGCUCUAUUUUGUCUCGUUUUAUGCGUAUUCUGCAGCUUGGCGUUUCAUUUUAUUCAAGGCGACGCCAUUAAAGGUGAAAGUAGCAGUAGUACAUAAACAAAAUUUACAUGUAUUUUACUCAAGGCGAAUCUAUUAAAGGUGGUAUCGAUAAAUCA